UACGUAGGGUGCGAGCGUUAAUCGGAAUUACUGGGCGUAAAGCGUGCGCAGGCGGUUUUGUAAGCCAGAUGUGAAAGCCCCGGGCUCAACCUGGGAAUGGCAUUUGGGACUGCAAGGCUGGAGUGCGGCAGAGGAGACUGGAAUUCCUGGUGUAGCAGUGAAAUGCGUAGAUAUCAGGAGAAAUACCGAUGGCGAAGGCAGGUCUCUGGGCUGACACUGACGCUCAUGCACGAAAGCGUGGGGAGCAAACAGG
rnacentral:rRNA from 1 species